GGGGCUGAACUGGUAUCGACCCUGAUCGAACCGGGAUAGGAGAAGCGAGCCGAGGACUCCGAGUGUGCCUCGUUAAUCAUCUCGGAAACUAAUUAACUGCCGCUGCGUAAAGCACGGUUGCCAUCCCUUAAUUGAUGGCCGUCGGCCGGAGAUGAGCCUGCGAUCUCCGGGUCCGGCGUCGCCUAGCAGGCUCACCGUUCGGAGUGUGCUCAAGGCGAAGAACGGGACACCUAACUUGAGCUAGGCACCAGCCGUUGCAGUUCGCGGGCCGGCGGGUACCGAAGAUCAACCGCGAACUACGCUCGUAGAAGUCCUAUCGCGGGAUUGGGGGACCCGGGUUCGAUUCCCGGCAGCUCCACUU
rnacentral:tmRNA from 1 species